GGUUAUGAUGAAGGAUCUGUUGUUGUUAAAAUUGGUUCUGAGCAACCUCUUGCUACUUUAAAUAGUGGUAAGAUACUUAUUGCAAAAGGUACUGAAA
rnacentral:snoRNA from 1 species